rnacentral:rRNA from 1 species
AGACAGCAGUCGCCGCGGUAAUACAGAGGGUGCGAGCGUUAAUCGGAUUUACUGGGCGUAAAGCGUGCGUAGGCGGCUUUUUAAGUCGGAUGUGAAAUCCCUGAGCUUAACUUAGGAAUUGCAUUCGAUACUGGGAAGCUAGAGUAUGGGAGAGGAUGGUAGAAUUCCAGGUGUAGCGGUGAAAUGCGUAGAGAUCUGGAGGAAUACCGAUGGCGAAGGCAGCCAUCUGGCCUAAUACUGACGCUGAGGUACGAAAGCAUGGGGAGCAAACAGGAUUAGAUACCCCAGUAGUCCCUGUCUCUUAUAA